rnacentral:rRNA from 1 species
AACGGAGCUUAGAGAGCUUGCUUUUUAAGCUUAGUGGCGAACGGGUGAGUAACGCGUGAGUAACCUGCCCUAGAGUGGGGGACAACAGUUGGAAACGACUGCUAAUACCGCAUAAGCCCACGGUACCGCAUGGUACUGAGGGAAAAGGAUUUAUUCGCUUUAGGAUGGACUCGCGUCCAAUUAGCUAGUUGGUGAGGUAACGGCCCACCAAGGCGACGAUUGGUAGCCGGACUGAGAGGUUGAACGGCCACAUUGGGACUGAGACACGGCCCAGACUCCUACGGGAGGCAGCAGUGGGGGAUAUUGCACAAUGGGGGAAACCCUGAUGCAGCGACGCCGCGUGGAGGAAGAAGGUUUUCGGAUUGUAAACUCCUGUCGUUAGGGACGAUAAUGACGGUACCUAACAAGAAAGCACCGGCUAACUACGUGCCAGCAGCCGCGGUAAAACGUAGGGUGCAAGCGUUGUCCGGAAUUACUGGGUGUAAAGGGAGCGCAGGCGGGAAGACAAGUUGGAAGUGAAAACCAUGGGCUCAACCCAUGAAUCGCUUUCAAAACUGUUUUUCUUGAGUAGUGCAGAGGUAGAUGGAAUUCCCGGUGUAGCGGUGGAAUGCGUAGAUAUCGGGAGGAACACCAGUGGCGAAGGCGGUCUACUGGGCACCAACUGACGCUGAGGCUCGAAAGCAUGGGUAGCAAACAGGAUUAGAUACCCUGGUAGUCCAUGCCGUAAACGAUGAUUACUAGGUGUUGGGGGAUUGACCCCCUCAGUGCCGCAGUUAACACAAUAAGUAAU